rnacentral:rRNA from 1 species
UACGUAGGGUGCAAGCGUUGUCCGGAAUUAUUGGGCGUAAAGGGCUCGUAGGCGGUUUGUCGCGUCGGGAGUGAAAACUCAGGGCUUAACCCUGAGCCUGCUUCCGAUACGGGCAGACUAGAGGUAUGCAGGGGAGAAUGGAAUUCCUGGUGUAGCGGUGAAAUGCGCAGAUAUCAGGAGGAACACCGGUGGCGAAGGCGGUUCUCUGGGACGGUACUGACGCUGAGACGCGAAAGCGUGGGGAGCGAACAGG